rnacentral:rRNA from 1 species
CGGGAGUAACACCUGGAAACAGAUGCUAAUACCGGAUAACAACUAGAUGAUGCCUAUCAACUGUUUAAAAGAUGGUUCUGCUAUCACUCUUGGAUGGACCUGCGGUGCAUUAGCUAGUUGGUAGGGUAACGGCCUACCAAGGCGAUGAUGCAUAGCCGAGUCGAGAGACUGAUCGGCCACAUUGGGACUGAGACACGGCCCAAACUCCUACGGGAGGCAGCAGUA